rnacentral:rRNA from 1 species
CUGGCGGCGUGCAUAACACAUGCAAGUCGAACGAUGAAGCUUUUUUGAUUUCUUCGGAAUGAUUAAAAGUGGAUUAGUGGCGGACGGGUGAGUAACGCGUGAGUAACCUGCCUUAGAGAAGGGGAUAGCCUUUGGAAACGAAGAAUAAUACCCUAUGAAACCAUAACCUCGCAUGAGGCCUUGGUCAAAGAUUUAUCGCUCUAAGAUGGACUUGCGUCUGAUUAGUUAGUUGGUGGGGUAACGGCCUACCAAGACAGCGAUCAGUAGCCGGCUUGAGAGAGUGUACGGCCACAUUGGGACUGAGACACGGCCCAGACUCCUACGGGAGGCAGCAGUGGGGAAUUUUGCACAAUGGGGGAAACCCUGAUGCAGCGACGCCGCGUGAUUUAGAAGGCCUUCGGGUUGUAAAAAUCUUUUCUAUGGGAAGAAAAUGACAGUACCAUAGGAAUAAGGACCGGCUAAUUACGUGCCAGCAGCCGCGGUAAUACGUAAGGUCCGAGCGUUGUCCGGAAUCAUUGGGCGUAAAGGGUACGUAGGCGGGUAAGCAAGUUAGAAGUGAAAUCCUAUAGCUCAACUAUAGUAAGCUUUUAAAACUGCUCAUCUUGAGGUAUGGAAGGGAAAGUGGAAUUCCUAGUGUAGCGGUGAAAUGCGCAGAUAUUAGGAGGAAUACCGGUGGCGAAGGCGACUUUCUGGCCAUAACCUGACGCUGAGGUACGAAAGCGUGGGUAGCAAACAGGAUUAGAUACCCUGGUAGUCCACGCCGUAAACGAUGAGUGUUAGGUGUCUGGAGUAAAUCUGGGUGCCGCAGCUAACGCAUUAAACACUCCGCCUGGGGAGUACGCGCGCAAGCGUG